UACGAAGGGGGCUAGCGUUGCUCGGAAUCACUGGGCGUAAAGGGUGCGUAGGCGGGUCUUUAAGUCAGGGGUGAAAUCCUGGAGCUCAACUCCAGAACUGCCUUUGAUACUGAGGAUCUUGAGUUCGGGAGAGGUGAGUGGAACUGCGAGUGUAGAGGUGAAAUUCGUAGAUAUUCGCAAGAACACCAGUGGCGAAGGCGGGUCUCUGGGCCGUUACUGACGCUGAGGAGCGAAAGCGUGGGGAGCGAACAGG
rnacentral:rRNA from 1 species